CCUACGGGAGGCAGCAGUAGGGAAUUUUCGUCAAUGGGCGCAAGCCUGAACGAGCGAUGCCGCGUGAGUGAAGAAGGCCUUCGGGUCGUAAAGCUCUGUUGCGGGGGAAAAAAGGCAGCAUCAGUAAAUGGGUGCUGACUGAUGGUGCCCCGCCAGAAAGUCACGGCUAACUACGUGCCAGCAGCCGCGGUAAUACGUAGGUGGCGAACGUUAUCCGGAAGGAUUGGGCGUAAGGGGUGCGCAGGCGGGCCUGCAAGUCUGGAGUGAAACGCAUGAGCUCAACUCAUGCAUGGCUUUGGAAACUGGAGGACUGGAGAGCAGGAGAGGGCGGUAGAACUCCAUGUGUAGCGGUAAAAUGCGUAGAUAUAUGGAAGAACACCAGUGGCGAAGGCGGCCGCCUGGCCUGUUGCUGACGCUGAGGCACGAAAGCGUGGGGAGCAAAUAGGAUUAGAUACCCCUGUAGUC
rnacentral:rRNA from 1 species